rnacentral:rRNA from 1 species
CUGGCGGCGUGCCUAAUACAUGCAAGUCGAACGGUCUUUCUAUGGAAGCUUGCUUCCACUGAGAAGAUAGUGGCGAACGGGUGAGUAACACGUGGGUAACCUGCCCAUAAGAGGGGGAUAACAUCCGGAAACGGGUGCUAAUACCGCAUAGUUUUCUUGAUCGCAUGAUUGAGAAAGGAAAGACGGCCUUUGUGCUGUCGCUUAUGGAUGGACCCGCGGCGUAUUAGUUAGUUGGUGAGGUAAUGGCUCACCAAGACGAUGAUACGUAGCCGACCUGAGAGGGUGAUCGGCCACAUUGGGACUGAGACACGGCCCAAACUCCUACGGGAGGCAGCAGUAGGGAAUCUUCCGCAAUGGACGAAAGUCUGACGGAGCAACGCCGCGUGAGUGAAGAAGGUUUUCGGAUCGUAAAACUCCGUUGUCAGAGAAGAACAAGUUGGAGAGUAACUGCUCCAGCCUUGACGGUAUCUGACCAGAAAGCCACGGCUAACUACGUGCCAGCCGCCGC